CCUACGGGUGGCAGCAGUGAGGAAUAUUGGUCAAUGGGCUUACGCCUGAACCAGCCAAGUCGCGUGAGGGAAGACUGCCCUAUGGGUUGUAAACCUCUUUUGUCAGGGAGCAACGCCGGCUACGUGUAUCCGACCUGAUAGUACCUGAAGAAAAAGCCUCGGCUUACUCCGUGCCAGCAGCCGCGGUAAUACGGAGGAUGCGAGCGCUAUCCGGAUUUAUUGGGUUUAAAGGGUGCGUAGGCGGAAUGCCAAGUCAGCGGUAAAAUCGCUGGGCUCAACCUCGCUCCGCCGUUGAAACUGGCGUGCUUGAGUGGGCGAGAAGUAUGAGGAAUGCGUGGUGUAGCGGUGAAAUGCAUAGAUAUCACGCAGAACUCCGAUUGCGAAGGCAGCAUACCGGCGCCCAACUGACGCUGAAGCACGAAAGCGUGGGUAUCGAACAGGAUUAGAUACCCUAGUAGUC
rnacentral:rRNA from 1 species